CUAGUGUAGCGGUGAAAUGCGUAGAUAUUAGGAGGAACACCAGUGGCGAAGGCGGAUUGCUGGACGAUAACUGACGGUGAGGCGCGAAAGUGUGGGGAGCAAACAGGAUUAGAUACCCUGGUAGUCCACACUGUAAACGAUGAAUACUAGGUGUGCGGGGACUGACCCCCUGCGUGCCGCAGUUAACACAAUAAGUAUUCCACCUGGGGAGUACGAUCGCAAGGUUGAAACUCAAAGGAAUUGACGGGGGCCCGCACAAGCGGUGGAUUAUGUGGUUUAAUUCGAAGCAACGCGAAGAACCUUACCAGGGUUUGACAUCCUGCUAACGAAGUAGAGAUACAUUAGGUGCCCUUCGGGGAAAGCAGAGACAGGUGGUGCAUGGUUGUCGUCAGCUCGUGUCGUGAGAUGUUGGGUUAAGUCCCGCAACGAGCGCAACCCCUAUUGUUAGUUGCUACGCAAGAGCACUCUAGCGAGACUGCCGUUGACAAAACGGAGGAAGGUGGGGACGACGUCAAAUCAUCAUGCCCCUUAUGUCCUGGGCUACACACGUAAUACAAUGGCGGUCAACAGAGGGAUGCAAAACCGUGAGGUGGAGCGAACCCCUAAAAGCCGUCCCAGUUCAGAUCGUGGGCUGCAACCCGCCCACGUGAAGUCGGAAUCGCUAGUAAUCGCGGAUCAGCAUGCCGCGGUGAAUACGUUCCC
rnacentral:rRNA from 1 species